UCGGGUCUAACAUUAGAUAUGACCUAGGCGUGUGCGUGAGUCAUCUUAUGUGUCACACUCUGUUCUCCCCUGAGUGUUCGCCUCUGGGGUCUGGGCCAAAUGUUAGUGCUGCUCUGUGAUCAGAUCAUCUGUCCGGCCCGGCCUCCAGAGGACGCCCAACAGGUCCAGCUGGUCACGUCAGGAUCAGACAGGGUGUUGGCUUCACCCUUCUGCGCCGAAGAUAGCAGCUGUUCUCCAUGAUCCUCACUGAUGUUUCUGCCAGUUUGAACAACCUGUUUCUCAUCUUUAAUCAAACUUCUGCCAGCAGAUUAUCUAAACCGAUCAAACAAAGGUUUUGCUUUUACUGUUAUUUGUACUUAUUUGUAAAGCAGCAAACUUUUCAGUUAUUUUGAUUUAAAAUGUCAAUGGGAAGCAGAUAAGGUGAUGAAGACUCUUGUCAUUCUCAGGGAUCCGCUGCCUGAAAGGUCUCAGGCCGCCGCCUUGGCCCAGCUGAUCGCCAAGAUGCAAAAGGACGCUGACUUGGUGGACAAAGACAUCGUCCGGGCUGAACAGCUGAUGGCUGUGGUGAGGCCCAACUAUCAGUUUUAGCAUAUUUGA
rnacentral:lncRNA from 1 species